UUUAAUAAGUUUUAGUUAUAAGAACACUAAUACAACAAAAUAAUUUUUUUCAAACUGCUUUUUUCUAUAGCAUUUAAAAUGAUGCUUUUAUUCAAAAAAGCAGUUUGGGCCCUUUAAACUCAAUGCCAAACAGGUACUUAAUUGCUUUACCAUUAUGUUUUGGAGAAAGGAGAGAGGGGUUUUCACCCCUUGGAGUGGGCUUGGGGUAAAUUGGAAUGCUAACAAACUUGGAUUUGGCAUAUCAGGAAGAAGAGGGACAAUAGGAGGUUGUUUCACAUAUUAUUUUUUGUGAAGUCAAAGAUAAUUACUAAAAUAUGAUAAUUUAUGUUUAUAGAUAGCACAGAGUCCAGACUCCAGAACAUUAUUUGCUCUGAAAAUGUGCUCAACAAACAUCAAACUUUGAAAGAGUCAACUUGUAGCCCUGCAUUAUGUUGAGAAAGAAAUAAUUUAAGAAAAUAUCAUUACCAAAUAACGUAAAUGAUCUUUGAC
rnacentral:misc_RNA from 1 species